rnacentral:lncRNA from 1 species
GGCCGACUCAAAGGCAUCCCAUGUAUGCCAAAAUUGAUUUUCUUUGAUUUUAAGUAACUUUCUUUGUUAAACAUAUUCAAGAUUAGACUUACUUUCUCAAACUUAAUUUAUGAAUUAUUGAGAAGUCUUUCUAAGUUCGACCCUUUUUUUUCACAUUUCUUUUAUGCUGAACUCAUUUUAUCCAAAACUUGAAUUUUUAACUUGGAAACUCAAAAUCACUUAAAUUUGAGAGAACUUCUUCUU